rnacentral:miRNA from 1 species
CCCUGGAAGAAGUUCUUC